rnacentral:snRNA from 1 species
UUUUAAAAUGAUGUUAAAACCCU